ACGAAAUCUUUCGGGAUUUAGUGGCGGACGGGUGAGUAACGCGUGAGAAUCUGGCUUCAGGUCUGGGACAACCACUGGAAACGGUGGCUAAUACCGGAUGUGCCCUUCGGGGUGAAAGGUUAACUGCCUGAAGAUGAGCUCGCGUCUGAUUAGCUAGUUGGAAGUGUAAUGGACUCCCAAGGCGACGAUCAGUAGCUGGUCUGAGAGGACGAUCAGCCACACUGGGACUGAGACACGGCCCAGACUCCUACGGGAGGCAGCAGUGGGGAAUUUUCCGCAAUGGGCGAAAGCCUGACGGAGCAAUACCGCGUGAGGGAGGAAGGCUCUUGGGUCGUAAACCUCUUUUCUCAGGGAAGAACACAAUGACGGUACCUGAGGAAUAAGCAUCGGCUAACUCCGUGCCAGCAGCCGCGGUAAUACGGAGGAUGCAAGCGUUAUCCGGAAUGAUUGGGCGUAAAGCGUCCGCAGGUGGCUAUGUAAGUCUGCUGUUAAAGAGUGAGGCUCAACCUCAUAAGAGCAGUGGAAACUACAUUGCUAGAGUACGUUCGGGGCAGAGGGAAUUCCUGGUGUAGCGGUGAAAUGCGUAGAGAUCAGGAAGAACACCAGUGGCGAAGGCGCUCUGCUAGGCCGUAACUGACACUGAGGGACGAAAGCUAGGGGAGCGAAUGGGAUUAGAUACCCCAGUAGUCCUAGCCGUAAACGAUGGAUACUAGGCGUGGCUUGUAUCGACCCGAGCCGUGCCGUAGCUAACGCGUUAAGUAUCCCGCCUGGGGAGUACGCCGGCAACGGUGAAACUCAAAGGAAUUGACKGGGGCCCGCACAAGCGGUGGAGUAUGUGGUUUAAUUCGAUGCAACGCGAAGAACCUUACCAAKGCUUGACAUGUCGCGAAUUCUGGUGAA
rnacentral:rRNA from 1 species